rnacentral:rRNA from 1 species
AGCAGCCGCGGUAAUUCCAGCUCCAAUAGCGUAUAUUAAAGUUGUUGCAGUUAAAAAGCUCGUAGUUGAAUUUCGGGGUUAGUAGGUUGGUCAUGCCUCUGGUAUGUACUGGUCUCACUGAUUCCUCCUUCCUGAUGAACCGUAAUGCCAUUAAUUUGGUGUUGCGGGGAAUUUGGACUGUUACUUUGAAAAAAUUAGAGUGUUUAAAGCAAGCUAACGCUUGAAUACAUUAGCAUGGAAUAAUGAAAUAGGACGUUCGAUCCUAUUUUGUUGGUUUCUAGGAUUGACGUAAUGAUUAAUAGGGAUAGUUGGGGGCAUUAGUAUUCAAUUGUCAGAGGUGAUAUUCUUGGAUUUAUUGAAGACUAACUACUGCGAAAGCAUUUGCCAAGGAUGUUUUCAUUAAUCAAGAACGAAAGUUAGGGGAUCGAAGACGAUCAGAUACCGUCGUAGUCUUAACCAUAAACUAUGCCGACUAGGGAUCGGAUGAUGUUAAUUUUUUAAUGACUCA